GUGGCGCUGACAUCCCUAAAGUCAGUGUGGAGUGGUUCAGGCCAUGCUUCUUUUCUUUUUUGUUGGAAAACUGGCACAACAAGGGGGAAUGUUGCAUAACUUCCACAAGAGGAUUACUUAAUUAAAGCUGAAAACUUUGCUGAAUAAAGGUCGGCGUGACAGAAGGAAGCAGGAGUGAGCUGAUACACAGUGGGAGCAGUGUUGGGAUUGUGAGUGUGAAGCUGUGUAGGAGAAAUGAGGCUUUUGCUGGCUGUCAGUCUCAUUCUCCUCUUCCUAUGGCUUCACAAGACUCAGACAUCUAGUGUCACCUUGCACAUGAAUGCUUGUGAGGCAGUAUCGCUGAGUGAGGCAGCAGUAUCUCUCCUCUUGUCGCCCCUGUCUCUGUACUCCUGGAUGACCUCCACGUUGCUCAGGGGGAAGGACGACAGAGAUCGUCUAGAGGAGGGAGAGGAAGAGGACGAGGAGAGUUAUCCUGUUUUAUUGGCGUCCAGGUUGUACCCUGUUUCUCACCCAGUGAAAGACCAUGAAUUGGAUAAGCAUAAGAAAAUGGAUGAAGAACAGGAACAUGGCAAAGAUAACUACAAAAGCCAAAAACUGCUGAGGAGGAGGAUGGGAAAAGGCGUUAUGAAACAAACAGUCUCUCAAGCUUUCAAUGCGUAAUCUUUGCUUAUUUCACAGGUGAAAACCCCCCCGCUAUGACCAAAUUCUGAUUAGCAAAUUGGAGCACCUUGAACUCAUCAUUUUUUUCCACUGCAAAUGACCAAAAUCAGUUAUUAAUUUAUAUGUCCAUUAUUAAACUAUCUUAUCUUGGAUUUAUUUUUCAACCUGCAGUCACUGUCGCCUGUAUUCUGUCCCUGUCAAAUUACUGUUGAAUAAUUAGAUGCACACUAUGUCAUUUUUAUUCCUCAGACCACUGAAAUAAAUUGGAGGCUCUGCUCUUUUUUUGCCCUUUGCUACGGUAAAUUAUGGUAUUAUAGCUUGAUUGAAGAGAGCUUUAUGAUCUAGAAACUCAGUUAAGUCAGAUUUUACUGAACCUGCUUUCCACAACAGGGUCGGUGUGUUCUGGAUUAAGACCCACUGAAAUAGGUUCUUCAUUUGGUUUCUUUAGUUUUUAGCACUUGUAGCUUUGUUAUAGCUUUUUCUGUUCUUGUAUGCGGACUACACCUCUGACCAUCACAGUGUGAAUAUUUGCCAGUUUCCUGAGAUAAAAUCCAGUGAAAACCCAAUUACAAAAAUACUAAUGGCAUUUAUUCACAUAAAAGAUGUCAACAUAAUCUGAAUAAACGUAAUCUGCUUGUUUGACUGGAGAAAAAUUAGUUGGAUGAAGGAGGGAGGAGGAGCACAGGGAAGAAGUAGGAUAGCAGUGAAAGGCUUUUCUAAAGGAGGAGGAGGAAAUGUUUUUGCGAGGGUCAGUCCUGUUUGUGCGUCUCUGCUGUCAAAGCCUCUCCUGCAGUAGCAGACGAGGUUAAGACUUAGGAGGCCGGGCCCUCUCAUACGGCGUCUCCCUCAGCACUGACAGCUCACUGAGGCACACACAUGCCCACAGACAACACGCACUGCCUUAAACUUUCCACUUUACCCCAGUCCUCCAACCUCCUUUUAAUGCAUCUGCCCUUCUCUUCCCUCUCUGUCUCCUGCUCUCCCUUUGCUUCCAUUUCUCUCAUUGUUUUUCUGUUUCUAUCGUUCUUCUUUUUCUUCUCGCUCUCUCUAAUUGGUCUCCGCUAGGUUUGCUUAGACAGGCCUAUUCAUCAUAGCACUAUCCUCAGAGACAAACCCUCAGGGAGCAAGGGGGAGAUAGACAGAGUCAGACGGGAGGGCGAUAGGGUCUGCCGCUUGUCAACCCACUUCUCUCCUCUUUUCCCCCUCCCUCUUUACUUCCCCCUCUCCCUCGUCUCUCUGCUCGGUACAUAGAUGUCAGUUUUGCAAAGGGAAGUGGGGGUGAGGGAGGUAAAGAGGGAGGGAAUGUAGACACAUUAGUUAGGCUAUUAGUUCAACAAGCUGCUUCCAUGCCUGUCAGUGGUCCAACAUCCAACCACA
rnacentral:lncRNA from 1 species